CCUACGGGGGGCAGCAGUGAGGAAUAUUGGUCAAUGGACGAGAGUCUGAACCAGCCAAGUAGCGUGAAGGAUGACUGCCCUAUGGGUUGUAAACUUCUUUUAUAUGGGAAUAAAACGUUCCACGUGUGGGAUUUUGUAUGUACCAUAUGAAUAAGGAUCGGCUAACUCCGGGCCAGCAGCCGCGGUAAUACGGAGGAUCCGAGCGUUAUCCGGAUUUAUUGGGUUUAAAGGGAGCGUAGGUGGAUUGUUAAGUCAGUUGUGAAAGUUUGCGGCUCAACCGUAAAAUUGCAGUUGAAACUGGCAGUCUUGAGUACAGUAGAGGUGGGCGGAAUUCGUGGUGUAGCGGUGAAAUGCUUAGAUAUCACGAAGAACUCCGAUUGCGAAGGCAGUUCACUGGACUGCAACUGACACUGAGGCUCGAAAGUGUGGGUAUCAAACAGGAUUAGAUACCCCAGUAGUC
rnacentral:rRNA from 1 species